rnacentral:rRNA from 1 species
AGUGGCGGACGGGUGAGUAACACGUGAGUAACCUGCCCUCCACUUUGGGAUAACUCCGAGAAAUCGGGGCUAAUACUGGAUAUGACCUUGGCCCGCAUGGGUUGUGGUGGAAAGUUUUUCGGUGGGGGAUGGGCUCGCGGCCUAUCAGUUUGUUGGUGAGGUAGUGGCUCACCAAGGCGAUGACGGGUAGCCGGCCUGAGAGGGCGACCGGCCACACUGGGACUGAGACACGGCCCAGACUCCUACGGGAGGCAGCAGUGGGGAAUAUUGCACAAUGGGCGAAAGCCUGAUGCAGCGACGCCGCGUGGGGGAUGACGGCCUUCGGGUUGUAAACCUCUUUCAGCAAGGAAGAAGCGAAAGUGACGGUACUUGCAGAAGAAGCGCCGGCUAACUACGUGCCAGCAGCCGCGGUAAUACGUAGGGCGCAAGCGUUGUCCGGAAUUAUUGGGCGUAAAGGGCUUGUAGGUGGCUUGUCGCGUCUGCCGUGAAAACUCGAGGCUUAACCUUGGGCGUGCGGUGGGUACGGGCAGGCUAGAGUGCGGUAGGGGAGACUGGAAUUCCUGGUGUAGCGGUGAAAUGCGCAGAUAUCAGGAGGAACACCGAUGGCGAAGGCAGGUCUCUGGGCCGUUACUGACACUGAGAAGCGAAAGCAUGGGGAGCG